rnacentral:rRNA from 1 species
GAUGAACGCUGGCGGCGUGCCUAAUACAUGCAAGUCGAGCGAACAGACGAGGAGCUUGCUCCUCUGACGUUAGCGGCGGACGGGUGAGUAACACGUGGAUAACCUACCUAUAAGACUGGGAUAACUUCGGGAAACCGGAGCUAAUACCGGAUAAUAUAUUGAACCGCAUGGUUCAAUAGUGAAAGACGGUUUUGCUGUCACUUAUAGAUGGAUCCGCGCCGCAUUAGCUAGUUGGUAAGGUAACGGCUUACCAAGGCAACGAUGCGUAGCCGACCUGAGAGGGUGAUCGGCAACACUGAAACUGGGACACGGUCAAGACCCCUACGGGAGGCAGCAGUAGGGAACCUUCCGCAAUGGGCGAAAGCCUAACGGAGAAACGCGGCGUGGGUGAUGAAGGUCCUCGGACCGAAAAACUCUGUUAUUAGGAAAAAAAAAAUGUGUAAGUACCUAUGAACGUUUUGACGGUACUAAACAAGAAAACAACGGCUAACUACGU